rnacentral:rRNA from 1 species
ACUCCUACGGGAGGCAGCAGUGGGGAAUUUUGGACAAUGGGGGCAACCCUGAUCCAGCAAUGCCGCGUGAGUGAAGAAGGCCUUCGGGUUGUAAAGCUCUUUUGUCAGGGAAGAAACGGUGGUGGCGAAUAACUACUACUAAUGACGGUACCUGAAGAAUAAGCACCGGCUAACUACGUGCCAGCAGCCGCGGUAAUACGUAGGGUGCAAGCGUUAAUCGGAAUUACUGGGCGUAAAGCGUGCGCAGGCGGUUGUGUAAGUCAGAUGUGAAAUCCCCGGGCUCAACCUGGGAAUUGCAUUUGAGACUGCACGGCUAGAGUGUGUCAGAGGGGGGUAGAAUUCCACGUGUAGCAGUGAAAUGCGUAGAUAUGUGGAGGAAUACCGAUGGCGAAGGCAGCCCCCUGGGAUAACACUGACGCUCAUGCACGAAAGCGUGGGGAGCAAACAGGAUUAGAAACCCUAGUAGUCCCAUG